CCAGACUCCUACGGGAGGCAGCAGUGGGGAAUAUUGCACAAUGGGGGGAACCCUGAUGCAGCGACGCCGCGUGGGUGAAGGAGCACCUCGGUGCGUAAAGCCCUAUCGGCAGGGAAGAAAAGCGAACAGGUUCGCCUGGACGGUACCUGACUAAGAAGCCCCGGCUAACUACGUGCCAGCAGCCGCGGUAAUACGUAGGGGGCAAGCGUUAUCCGGAUUCACUGGGUGUAAAGGGAGCGUAGACGGCGACGCAAGUCUGGAGUGAAAGCCCGGGGCCCAACCCCGGGACUGCUCUGGAAACUGCGUCGCUGGAGUACCGGAGGGGCAAGCGGAAUUCCUAGUGUAGCGGUGAAAUGCGUAGAUAUUAGGAGGAACACCAGUGGCGAAGGCGGCUUGCUGGGCUUUUACUGACGCUGAGGCUCGAAAGUGUGGGGAGCAAACAGGAUUAGAUACCCCCGUAUA
rnacentral:rRNA from 1 species